ACGAACGCUGGCGGCGUGCUUAACACAUGCAAGUCGCACGGAAAGGCCCUGCUUUUGUGGGGUGCUCGAGUGGCGAACGGGUGAGUAACACGUGAGUAACCUGCCCUUGACUUUGGGAUAACUUCAGGAAACUGGGGCUAAUACCGGAUAGGAGCUCCUGCUGCAUGGUGGGGGUUGGAAAGUUUCGGCGGUUGGGGAUGGACUCGCGGCUUAUCAGCUUGUUGGUGGGGUAGUGGCUUACCAAGGCUUUGACGGGUAGCCGGCCUGAGAGGGUGACCGGCCACAUUGGGACUGAGAUACGGCCCAGACUCCUACGGGAGGCAGCAGUGGGGAAUAUUGCACAAUGGGCGGAAGCCUGAUGCAGCAACGCCGCGUGCGGGAUGACGGCCUUCGGGUUGUAAACCGCUUUCGCCUGUGACGAAGCGUGAGUGACGGUAAUGGGUAAAGAAGCACCGGCUAACUACGUGC
rnacentral:rRNA from 1 species